rnacentral:lncRNA from 1 species
CAGGAGGAAGCGUCAUAAGGGUUGGGCCUUUUUGGGGCAGCUACCAGAAGGGAGCACCAAGCAGAUGCAGCUCGCCUUCCCUCCCAUUCCACCAUCCACUGUCUCCAGCAAGAACCUGCGGGAGGGUGGCCCAAUGGGGAGAAACUAAGGAUUCGGUGUCGGGACCACUCCUGCCCUGACCUGCCCUGUGACUCCGUCAUACUCUCCAAAGGCCAGACCCUCCUAGACCAGCUGGAACCACCAUCAAGAUGUCCCCAGCCAUGUCAGACUCUGGGGCCCCAAGCGGAGGGCAACCAGAUGUCUUCAGCUCCAAGUCUGGCCUCUCCUCCCAGCAAGCAGCCACUCUGAUGGCCAACAGGUGCUGCUGUGUGCCCAGAUCAAGAAUCCACCUCUGCGGAAUUCAAAACUGCUGAGGGUUCUGGGGCAGCAGGGAGGAGAGAGGUGGAGACGCAACAUGGGUUUUCUGUGUUCAGACUGCAGAGACCUUGGAAAGGAUCAACCAUAUACAAUGUCCAUUUCCUGCCCUCUAACCUGGCAGGGGAGCAAGGCCCAGCCAAGGAGUACAGAAACUGAGGCUUGGCCAGGCGUGGUGGCUCACACCUGCAAUCUCAGCACUGGGAGGCCAAGGUGGGCAGAUCGCUUGAGCCCAGGAGUUUGAGACCAGCCUGAGGAACAUGGCGAAACCCCAUCUCUACAAAAAAUACAGAAAUUAGCCAAGUGUGGUGGCACGUGUCUGUAGUUUCAGCUACUCAGGAGGCUUGGGUGGGAGGAUCACCUGAGCCUGGGAGGUAGAGGUUGCAAUGAGCAGAGAUCACGCCAUUGCUCUCCAGCCAGGGAGACAGAGUGAGACCCUGUCCCAAAAUAAAUAAAUAAAUAAGAAUAAAAUUUAAAAAAGAAACUGAGG